rnacentral:rRNA from 1 species
CCUACGGGAUGCAGCAGUGGGGAAUAUUGCACAAUGGGGGAAACCCUGAUGCAGCGACGCCGCGUGAGUGAAGAAGUAUUUCGGUACGUAAAGCUCUAUCAGCAGGGAAGACAAUGACGGUCCCUGACUAAGAAGCCCCGGCUAACUACGUGCCAGCAGCCGCGGUAAUACGUAGGGGGCAAGCGUUAUCCGGAUUUACUGGGUGUAAAGGGAGCGUAGACGGCAGCGCAAGUCUGGAGUGAAAUCCCAUGGCUUAACCAUGGAACUGCUUUGGAAACUGUGCAGCUAGAGUGCAGGAGAGGUAAGCGGAAUUCCUAGUGUAGCGGUGAAAUGCGUAGAUAUUAGGAGGAACACCAGUGGCGAAGGCGGCUUACUGGACUGUAACUGACGUUGAGGCUCGAAAGCGUGGGGAGCAAACAGGAUUAGAUACCCCUGUAGUC